rnacentral:rRNA from 1 species
UAGGGAAUCUUCGGCAAUGGACGAAAGUCUGACCGAGCAACGCCGCGUGAGUGAAGAAGGUUUUCGGAUCGUAAAACUCUGUUGUUAGAGAAGAACAAGGACGUUAGUAACUGAACGUCCCCUGACGGUAUCUAACCAGAAAGCAACGGCUAACUACGUGCCAGCAGCCGCGGUAAUACGUAGGUGGCAAGCGUUGUCCGGAUUUAUUGGGCGUAAAGCGAGCGCAGGCGGUUUCUUAAGUCUGAUGUGAAAGCCCCCGGCUCAACCGGGGAGGGUCAUUGGAAACUGGGAGACUUGAGUGCAGAAGAGGAGAGUGGAAUUCCAUGUGUAGCGGUGAAAUGCGUAGAUAUAUGGAGGAACACCAGUGGCGAAGGCGGCUCUCUGGUCUGUAACUGACGAUGAGGCUCGAAAGCGUGGGGAGCAAACAGG